rnacentral:rRNA from 1 species
GACGAACGCUGGCGGCGUGCUUAACACAUGCAAGUCGAACGAUGAACCCUGCUUGCGGGGGGAUUAGUGGCGAACGGGUGAGUAACACGUGGGUAACCUGCCCUCAGCUUUGGGAUAACUCCAAGAAAUUGGGGCUAAUACCGGAUAUUCAUUGUCUGCCGCAUGGUGGGUGGUGGAAAGUUUUUCGGCUGGGGAUGGGCCCGCGGCCUAUCAGCUUGUUGGUGGGGUGAUGGCCUACCAAGGCGACGACGGGUAGCCGGACUGAGAGGGUGUCCGGGCACACUGGGACUGAGACACGGCCCAGACUCCUACGGGAGGCAGCAGUGGGGAAUAGUGGGCAAGGGGCGGAAGCCUGACGCAGCGACGCCGCGUGGGGGAUGACGGCCUUCGGGUUGUAAGCCUCUUUCACCCAUGACGAAGCCUUUGCGGGUGACGGUAGUGGGAGAAGAAGCACCGGCCAACUACGUGCCAGCCGCCGCAGUAAAAC